rnacentral:rRNA from 1 species
UACAGAGGUCUCAAGCGUUAAUCGGAAUUACUGGGCGUAAAGCGUGCGCAGGCGGUCUUUUAAGUCAGAUGUGAAAUCCCCGGGCUUAACCUGGGAACUGCGUUUGAAACUGGAAGGCUAGAGUGUGGCAGAGGGGGGUGGAAUUCCACGUGUAGCAGUGAAAUGCGUAGAUAUGUGGAGGAACACCGAUGGCGAAGGCAGCCCCCUGGGCUAACACUGACGCUCAUGCACGAAAGCGUGGGGAGCAAACAGG